CCUGAAGUUUUCGUAGGUAUUCAAGUUCAAACACUUGAAACUGAAACUCUUAUAUAUCAAUCAAACUACAGCUAUCAAAACAUUUUAAUUUUGAUAAAACUGUUGCAGGAAAUAGUCCUGAGAAUCCAAAUUGUGAUUAUGAAAGAAGGUUUAGUAAUAUAUCAACAUGCCAUUAUGGGUUUUUAACAGUGGGAGUUGCUAGUCGUUUUAUAAACAAUAAUUCAUUAGUUCAUUGGAAUGCUAUAACACAAACCCUUAGCUGUUUAGUAAAUACUGUAGAGUUACGUAUAAGGUAUAUGAAAGGUGACAAGCUUGAUUUUGUAGGAUACAAACAAGAAAAUCCACGUAUUUAAGAUAUUAAAUGAACUCAACUCGAAUAUAUACAUUUAUAACCACCACUUGCUUUAACUACCCUCCUGCCCAGAAGCUAAAGCAGGAAAUGUUACUGCAGAUAAGUAAACGACAUAUAAUUUAAGUCAGCAAUAUAAAACGUAAACUGUAAUCUGUAAACGCAGCUUUAGUAUGUUGAUAAGCGGAAAUGUCACAGUUGUCAAUAUAACCUAACCUCUAAUUAUCGAUGUUCAAUGUGUCAAAAUAAAGAAAGGAACAAUAACAAUAUGAAAUCUAUAAUUAUUACUUUAGAGUUAAAUUAAGUUCCAAGUCCUUAGAAUACCCAGAAGUAGGUUAAGAGUGUUCGAUGGAACUCGGACCAUAGGUUUCGGAGUAAUAAUCCAUCAAGAUUUUCACAAUAAGGGUGAUGCAACUAUUGAACAAAUACAUGAAAAGGUAUUUAUAGCAUGUCAAUCAGUCCAAUGGUAGUUACAAGGGGAGAUAGUAAUAAAGGCCUAAAAAUGAAACCAGAGGUGAGCAGCCUAAGUGAGGAAUGUCUCGGAUUUUACCAUGAAUAAGUCAUCACCAGUACAAGAACCUUAGAGACAAUUCCUGCAUCAAAUAGGGACUACUCUCGGUAUAUACCUAGCACGAUAAAACUUAAAGAAGAGGUGUUAGAAUAAAAUCAAGAUUUAGGUUCUUGACAGU